UACGGGGGGGGCAAGCGUUGUUCGGAAUUACUGGGCGUAAAGGGCUCGUAGGUGGCCAACUAAGUCAGACGUGAAAUCCCUCGGCUUAACCGGGGAACUGCGUCUGAUACUGGAUGGCUUGAGUGUGGGAGAGGGAUGCGGAAUUCCAGGUGUAGCGGUGAAAUGCGUAGAUAUUGGGAGGAACACCGGUGGCGAAGGCGGCCCCCUGGACCGGUACUGACGCUGAGGCGCGAAAGCGUGGGUAGCAAACGGG
rnacentral:rRNA from 1 species